AAUAAAUCUAAUAAUAAUAGAAUUUUAGAAAACUAACUUCCUAAUUCUAGGAUGACACUAAUUCCUAAAUGGAUUUUGAAUCUUCCAAUACUGUAUCAACUAGUUGACAAAACGUUGUUUACACAAUAAAUUUUUUACUUUUGAAUGCUUUGUUCAAAAUCUUUACUGCUGCUUGAUGCCACAAAGAAUACCUGCUGUGAUCAUACCUGUAUCUUCUGCUCUGUUAUAUGACUUACUCCUAUGUGUUUUACA
rnacentral:misc_RNA from 1 species